GACGAACGCUGGCGGCGUGCUUAACACAUGCAAGUCGAACGAAGAGCGAUGGAAGCUUGCUUCUAUCAAUCUUAGUGGCGCACGGGUGAGUAACGCGUAAUCAACCUGCCCUUCAGAGGGGGACAACAGUUGGAAACGGCUGCUAAUACCGCAUACGAUCUAAUCUCGGCAUCGAGGAUAGAUGAAAGGUGGCCUCUACAUGUAAGCUAUCACUGAAGGAGGGGAUUGCGUCUGAUUAGCUAGUUGGAGGGGUAACGGCCCACCAAGGCGAUGAUCAGUAGCCGGUCUGAGAGGAUGAACGGCCACCUUGGGACUGAGACACGGCCCAGACUCCUACGGGAGGCAGCAGUGGGGAAUCUUCCGCAAUGGACGAAAGUCUGACGGAGCAACGCCGCGUGAGUGAUGACGGCCUUCGGGUUGUAAAGCUCUGUUAAUCGGGACGAAAGGCCUUCUUGCGAACAGUUAGAAGGAUUGACGGUACCGGAAUAGAAAGCCACGGCUAACUACGUG
rnacentral:rRNA from 1 species